rnacentral:rRNA from 1 species
GACGAACGCUGGCGGCGUGCUUAACACAUGCAAGUCGAGCGGUAAGGCCCUUUCGGGGGUACACGAGCGGCGAACGGGUGAGUAACACGUGGGUGACCUGCCCUCAGCUCUGGGAUAAGCCUGGGAAACCGGGUCUAAUACUGGAUAUGACUCCAUGACGCAUGUUGUGGGGUGGAAAGCCUUGUGCGGCUGAGGAUGGGCCCGCGGCCUAUCAGCUUGUUGGUGGGGUGANGGCCUACCAAGGCGACGACGGGUAGCCGGCCUGAGAGGGCGACCGGCCACACUGGGACUGAGACACGGCCCAGGCUCCUACGGGAGGCAGCAGUGGGGAAUCUUGCGCAAUGGGCGAAAGCCUGACGCAGCGACGCCGCGUGAGGGAUGACGGCCUCGGUU